UACGGAGGGGGCUAGCGUUGUUCGGAAUUACUGGGCGUAAAGCGCACGUAGGCGGCUUUGCAAGUUAGAGGUGAAAGCCCGGGGCUCAACUCCGGAAUUGCCUUUAAAAACUGCAUCGCUAGUAAAUUGUGGAGAGGUAAGUGGAAAUUCCGGAGUGUAGAGGUAGAAAUUCGUAGAUAUUAGGAAGAACACCAGUGGCGAAGGCGACUUACUGGACACAUAUUGACGCUGGAGGUGCGAAAAGCGUGGGGAGCAAACAGG
rnacentral:rRNA from 1 species